GGCCCCAUCGUCUAGUGGUUAGGACAUAGCCCUUUCACGGCUGUAACAGGGGUUCAAAUCCCCUUGGGGUCACAA
rnacentral:tRNA from 2 species